AACGAACGCUGGCGGCAGGCCUAACACAUGCAAGUCGAGCGAGGACUUCGGUUCUAGCGGCGGACGGGUGAGUAACGCGUGGGAAUGUGCCCUUCUCUACGGAAUAGCCCUGGGAAACUGGGAGUAAUACCGUAUACGCCCUAUUGGGGAAAGAUUUAUCGGAGAAGGAUCAGCCCGCGUUGGAUUAGGUAGUUGGUGGGGUAAUGGCCUACCAAGCCGACGAUCCAUAGCUGGUUUGAGAGGAUGAUCAGCCACACUGGGACUGAGACACGGCCCAGACUCCUACGGGAGGCAGCAGUGGGGAAUCUUAGACAAUGGGGGCAACCCUGAUCUAGCCAUGCCGCGUGAGUGAUGAAGGCCUUAGGGUGUAAAGCUCUUUCAGCUGGGAAGAUAAUGACGGUACCAGCAGAAGAAGCCCCGGCUAACUCCGUG
rnacentral:rRNA from 1 species